AUUGUUUGUCUUUAAUAUUAUUGAUCUAUAGUGCAGUUUUGACGAAUACUGUGAUUAUAUUAUCGAAUUAUAAUGUGUUUGACAAUAGAACCAUAAUAAUGUUUAAACUUAUAAUUUUAAUUAAUUAAAGUCGAAUUUCGACUACUGCGGGGCCACUAGUUUAACCAAAUCGAUCUAUAGGAACUGAAGCAAAUGACAUUCCGUUAUUAAGCCUUGAUUGCAUUUUGCACCGUCGCCGCGUCGGUCCUCGAGUUUUCCUUAAAAAAGAUCUCACAUAAUUCACAAAAAUCUAACUCGCGCCAACGAAAUUUACAAAAGAAAAUUCCAUAAAUAGAAGUACUGAACGACAACAUUCGGAGAGUCGUUCUAUCAAACAAAAUGUGUCCGCUCGAUAGUAUAUAUCUUUAUUGUUCAUCCCAAAAGCAUAUACAUGUAUCAACAACGUGAAUCAGCUUGGCGUAUUACGUAUAGCCAUUGUAAAGCCAUUUUAAUUUUCAGAUAACGAAGGUCUGCCUUUACGAAGAACUCCUAAGGGUUACAAAUUUCAAAUCACCGACACGUGCAAAUCCUUUCGCAAUAAUGAUUUCCCUCGCCUUUGUUCUUAGAACGGUUUAUAAAUGUCAACGAAACUCGAUACAAAAACAUGUUGGUUCGGAGUUAUCUUGAAGAUGCGACAGAAGGAUGGGAAAGCUGUACAGAACACAUUUUAGACUUCUAUUACGGGCCUCAAAGAUCAAGUCAAUCCGAGUGAAACGCCUGUGUGUCCAUAUUCAACUUGAAAAACAAGUGAGGAGAAAGCGGUUCAAUUAUGCAAAUUGCAAAUGUCGCAGUUACAAUGAGAAAUGAAUAUCCACCGUGUUUUCUGUUGUUACUAACUGAUUAGUUCUGCCUCGAUUCAAACAAACGUUCCAGUUUGGAUGGCGGGAUAGUCGUAACACAAUAUAUUCAUCAGACAUUU